AGGGUUGUGGCUCAGUGACAAAGCAUCUGUCUUUGCAUGCAGAAGGUCCCAGCUUCAAUCCCCAGCAUCUCAA